UUCUGAAUACAUUGCUGCUCUAUCUCUCUAUCCACUAUCCACCCUUUCUUUCUUUCUUAUCAUCUCCCACUUCCAAUUCCCAGCACAGAACCAAACCAUUCUCUUCAUUCAUUCCUUCCUCGAAUAAAUAAUCAAUUCAGGAGAUCAAAAGAAAAGAAAAUAAUAAUAAUUUAGAAACCCUAAAAUUAACUACCAUGCGCUUCAAUUGCUGCCACGUGUCGCUGGCGUUCGUUCUGAAGUUCUUGAAUUUCCUUCAAGCUUUCAUUGGGGUUUCGAUUCUGAUGUACUCAAUAUGGAUGCUGAAUCAAUGGAAUCAUCAAGAAAUUCCGCAACCACCGUUCCCUCAUCCUCCUCAUAUCGCUCUUCAUGGUUCUCUUGGCUUCGAUCUCAAUUCUAUUAACCUCCCUGCUCCAUGGUUCAUCUAUGCCUUUAUGGGAGUGGGAGUAUUGGUGUGCUGUGUUACCUUCUUGGGUUGCAUUGCAGCUGAAUUGAUAAAUGGUUGCUGCUUAUGUUUUUACACGCUACUUGUCACAGUAAUUCUAAUACUAGAAGCUGUUUUGGUGGGAUUCAUUGCCAUUGAUCAUCGCUGGGAAGAGCAUCUUCCCAUUGAUCCUACUGGCCAACUUGACAGCCUUAAAUCUUUCAUCAAGGAGAACAUGGAUAUAUGUGCAUGGGUUGGAAUUGCUGUGCUUGUGAUUCAGGCGUCAUCUCUAUUAAUGGCAUUAGUUUUGCGAGCCUCAGUUUCUUCUAGGAGUGAUGAUUCAGCUUAUGAGGACGAAUAUGAUGCUAGGGUUCCUCUGGUAAGUCCUAAAUCUAGCCAAGCAUCUGGUUCAAGCAAAUUUGAUAACCGAGCUAAUCACUCCGACAUUUGGAGCUCACGGAUGAGAGAGAAGUAUGGUUUGAACAAUAGUGAAAAGAUCAGUUACCAACAACCAUGAAUCAGGCAAUAACUGCUAUUAGCUGCGAGCAAUUUGGGAUUUUGGUGACAUAUGGGGUGCAAGGGGACUACUGAUUUCGAUUCUGGUACAUUACAUCAUCAUGCAUGCUCUAUACAGUUGUAGAAAUCAUAUCACUGAUACCACAGUAAUGGCUAAAUUGAGAGUGUCUAAUAUACCUUCAUAUUAUGAUUUUGGGUAGCUUUGUAACUGUUCAAAUUCAGUUUAAUAAUA